UUGGGCACUCUAAAGGGACUGCCGGUGGUCAAACCGGAGGAAGGCGGGGAUGACGUCAAAUCAUCAUGCCCCUUAUGUUCUGGGCUACACACGUGCUACAAUGGCCGGUACAGACGGACGCAAAGCCGCGAGGUGGAGCAAAUCCUAAAAAGCCGGUCUCAGUUCGGAUUGCAGGCUGCAAUUCGCCUGCAUGAAGUCGGAAUCGCUAGUAAUCGCAGGUCAGCAUACUGCGGUGAAUACGUUCCCGGGCCUU
rnacentral:rRNA from 1 species